CCGCCAUUAGCUCAGCAGGAAGAGCGACGACCAUCCGAGUUGUAGGUGCGGGGUUCGAGGCCUCGAUGGCGGUCCA
rnacentral:tRNA from 1 species